UCGGCUGGCGUUUGGCUUUUACGGAAGUGGUGCGGGUCAAAAAACGCCAGCGGGAGAUGCGGCGGUGGCGGUGUUGUUGUUGUUGUUGUUAUUGAAAAGCUCCUAAAAUGCAAGACAGCUGUCACGGAGCUCCUCCCGGACCAGACUUGCUGAGCCUACCUGGCGAAUUUCGUGUCCUUGUUGGUGUGACGGGUAGCGUAGCGGCCCUGAAGCUGCCCCUUCUGGUCUCCCAACUUCUUCAACUACCCGGGGUGGAUGUAAGAGUGGUAACCACAGAACAUGCCAAGCACUUCUAUGAUGUCACUGAAGUUGGAGUGAGGGUCUACAGUGAUAAGGAUGAGUGGGAGCAAUGGACACAGCGCUCUGACCCAGUGCUUCACAUUGAGUUGAGGCGAUGGGCAGACCUGCUUGUUAUUGCCCCGCUAGAUGCCAACACUCUUGGAAAGAUUGCUAGUGGCAUCUGUGACAAUCUGCUGACAUGUGUGGUAAGAGCCUGGGAUACUACCCGCCCCUUGCUCUUCUGCCCAGCCAUGAACACAGCCAUGUGGCAGCACCCUAUCACAGCACAGCAAGUCACCAGCCUCAAAGAGUUUGGCUAUGCAGAGAUCCCCUGCAUUUCCAAGAAGUUGGUGUGCGGCGAUGAAGGUAAAGGAGCCAUGGCAGAGGUGUCCACGAUUAUCGAUGCUGUCAAACAGUAUCUCCCAGAAGCCAAAUCAUCACCUCAGCAUUUGUGAAUGAACGUCCUGGAGUAUAUGUGGAAGGCUCCACGGAGCAGUAGGUCGUGAACGUCAUGGGGCUCGUCUACUCUGUUCGACGUGAUAGUAGAGAGAGACAGGAAAGGUGAGGGAGAGAGAGGGGAUGACAUACAGCAAAGGGCCCGGCCCGGAUUCGAGCCCAGGCCACUGCGGUGGAUGUGAGCCAUGUGGGAACAGGAGCCAUCUUGAACCAGGCAGAUGACCAGGGAGUUGACAGGCCAGUUAGUUUCUUUUCUAAGAAGUUCAGCCGGCAUCAGUUAAACUACUCAGUGGCUGAGAAAGAGGCCCUUGCUUUUAUCUCGGCCCUGCAGUAUUUUGCAGUUUAUGUGGA